CGGGCUGUGGCGCAGGUUGGUAGCGCGUCUGACUGGGGGUCAGAAGGUCGUCGGUUCAAAUCCGGCCAGCCCGACCA
rnacentral:tRNA from 1 species